rnacentral:lncRNA from 1 species
AAAAAAACCAAAAUACAUGUUUAAAAAAACAGAGACAAGAAAGACCUAUUAAUAGGUUUAAAUAAACACCAAGGAAAAAGUUAAAUAUUAAUGACCAACAACGUACCUCUUUUUAAAGAGAUCACUGAAAACCAAAAUACAUGUUAAAAAAAACAUAGACAAGAAAGACCUAUUAAUAGGUAUAAAUAAAUACCAAAGUAAAAGUUAAAAACUAAUGACCAACAACGUACCUAUUUGUAAAGAGAUCACUAAAAACCAAAAUCUAUCUUUAAAAAAACAAUAUUAAUGAACAACAACGUACCUCUUUUUAAAGAGAUCACUAAAAACC